UCUUUAUCACCGAGUGCUUGCACUCACCGGUAAACGGUUGAGUGGCGAACGGGUGAGUAACACGUGGGCAACCUGCCCAAAAGAGGGGGAUAACACUUGGAAACAGGUGCUAAUACCGCAUAACCAUAGUUACCGCAUGGUAGCUAUGUAAAAGGUGGCUAUGCUACCGCUUUUGGAUGGGCCCGCGGCGCAUUAGCUAGUUGGUGGGGUAAAGGCUUACCAAGGCAAUGAUGCGUAGCCGAACUGAGAGGUUGAUCGGCCACAUUGGGACUGAGACACGGCCCAAACUCCUACGGGAGGCAGCAGUAGGGAAUCUUCCACAAUGGGCGAAAGCCUGAUGGAGCAACGCCGCGUGGGUGAAGAAGGUCUUCGGAUCGUAAAACCCUGUUGUCAGAGAAGAAAGUGCGUGAGAGUAACUGUUCACGUUUCGACGGUAUCUAACCAGAAAGCCACGGCUAACUACGUGCCAGCUGCCGCGGUAAUACGUAGGUGGCAAGCGUUAUCCGGAUUUAUUGGGCGUAAAGGGAACGCAGGCGGUCUUUUAAGUCUGAUGUGAAAGCCUUCGGCUUAACCGGAGUAGUGCAUUGGAAACUGGGAGACUUGAGUGCAGAAGAGGAGAGUGGAACUCCAUGUGUAGCGGUGAAAUGCGUAGAUAUAUGGAAGAACACCAGUGGCGAAAGCGGCUCUCUGGUCUGUAACUGACGCUGAGGUUCGAAAGCGUGGGUAGCAAACAG
rnacentral:rRNA from 1 species